GACGAACGCUGGCGGCGUGCCUAAUACAUGCAAAGUAGAACGCUGAAGAGAGGAGCUUGCUCUUCUUGGAUGAGUUGCGAACGGGUGAGUAAACGCGUAGGUAACCCUGCCUUGUAGCGGGGGAUAACUAUUGGAAACGAUAGCUAAUACCGCAUAACAAUGGAUGACCCAUGUCAUUUAUUUGAAAGGGGCAAAUGCUCCACUACAAGAUGGACCUGCGUUGUAUUAGCUAGUAGGUGAGGUAACGGCUCACCUAGGCGACGAUACAUAGCCGACCUGAGAGGGUGAUCGGCCACACUGGGACUGAGACACGGCCCAGACUCCUACGGGAGGCAGCAGUAGGGAAUCUUCGGCAAUGGGGGCAACCCUGACCGAGCAACGCCGCGUGAGUGAAGAAGGUUUUCGGAUCGUAAAGCUCUGUUGUAAGUCAAGAACGAGUGUGAGAGUGGAAAGUUCACACUGUGACGGUAGCUUACCAGAAAGGGACGGCUAACUACGUGCCAGCAGCCGCGGUAAUACGUAGGUCCCGAGCGUUGUCCGGAUUUAUUGGGCGUAAAGCGAGCGCAGGCGGUUUGAUAAGUCUGAAGUUAAAGGCUGUGGCUCAACCAUAGUUCGCUUUGGAAACUGUCAAACUUGAGUGCAGAAGGGGAGAGUGGAAUUCCAUGUGUAGCGGUGAAAUGCGUAGAUAUAUGGAGGAACACCGGUGGCGAAAGCGGCUCUCUGGUCUGUAACUGACGCUGAGGCUCGAAAGCGUGGGGAGCGAACAGG
rnacentral:rRNA from 1 species